rnacentral:tmRNA from 1 species
GGGGCUGACAUGGAUUUGACAGCAGGAUGAGACGUUGUGUAAGCACGCAGAGAGUCGUUGAUCGCUCUCUUUAAUCCAUGGUCUUCAACAAUUAUCUGGCGAAAACACUUACGCUCUCGCUGCUUGAUUGAAGUAUAGUAGAUCAGCUUAUCUCGGCACCAGGUGCUGAGACGGGACAUCACUCAGAGGCUACCUCGCCCCAAAGCGCUCUGGCUCAGUGGUGCAGCUAAAUUGGGGAUAGCCGUGCGUGGCCUCGCGCGUACGGUGAAACUUUAGAGGAUAAGGUGCCGGUCGGUGGCCCAGGUCUUGCCGACACUCGAAAACCUCAGUCUGGGAUAAGCGUGUAGAAAGCACAGGGUGUCCCUGUUUGGACGAGGGUUCAAUUCCCUCCAGCUCCACUA